AAUGAUUUUAUCGUAAUUUACAGAAAUGCUAGGUCUCCUUUGACUUAAUCUUUUUUUUUUUUAAUAAAUAUUAUUAAUCGUCCCAAAUGGGUUGGGCUAUAGGGCUUACAAUGAAAACAUAGUUACAAAAAGGUCUAAUCAGAAAAGUGAUCAGAAAAAGAUGAAAAGAUCGGAACUUGUUGAUUACCGGCCGCAGAGAAUCAUAAGGUGCAAUUCCAGCGGAUUCAAGGGCCACGGCUUUGCGGCAGAACAAAGCAUUGGAGCCAACGUUGAAAGAACCCAAUUUCCACCAUCGAUCCCUCACCGUCGAACCGCCUGACCCGCUACAGUCCCUCCCAGACACCUCAACUCUUCGAAAAGCCAGGUCCACGUUGUCAGGUCCCGACCUAGCAACCUAACAAAUUCAGAUCUGUCCCCUUUCUUCCAAAUCCGGACCUAACCAAUCAAUCCGAGAAACAGAACCCUUCAACUGGUCCGGUGGACACCAACCGCGGCGGAUUCAGUAGUUGAAGGCUCAAACAACCACCACCUGGAAACGAACUCCGCGGCGGCCUUCUAAGAUCGGCCAAGAUCUGUGGUUAACCACCGUAACAAUCAACGCAACCCACCUUUCCCCCUCCGACUUCCGCCGUAGCAGUAGUGACUAAUCCGACGGCUGAGCCGCGAGGAUACUCCCACAUCCAAUCUCCAGCGUCCUCAACCGGAAAGGCAUGACAUCGGAGCAUCUUUUCCGCCCAAAUUAGAACCACCGCUACAUCGGAAGGGGAAGUCCACUCCACCGUUGACAGAGAGGGGAACCUACUCACCACUAAGAUUCCGAUGUAAUCCUUCAGCCGACGAUGAAGAGCAAGUGAACGAACCUAGAUCUAGCAAAACCCUACUUUUGGCUGCAAGAGAGAGAGAGAAAGAGAAAGAGAGUGAGAGAGAGAGAGAGAGAGAGAAAUACACGCUCGAGGCAACGAUUGGGCCAAAAAACUUGACUUAAUCUUUAUCAAUCUUAUGGCAUGCACUGCAAUUUCUCGAAAUAUAACUAGUAUCUCUAUACUAUUAAAAGAGAAGUACAAAUGAAAAAUGGGUUGGGUUAAAAUCAGAAAAUUGAUCCGAAAUUCUGAAAUCGGAUCUUUGAAAUUUUUUUGGAAUAUAAAUUCGAAUUAAUAAUGAAAAAUCGAAAUAAAAUCAAAUAUUUAUGGAA
rnacentral:lncRNA from 1 species